AGUGAACGCUGGCGGUAGGCCUAACACAUGCAAGUCGAACGGCAGCACAGUAAGAUCUUGCUCUUACGGGUGGCGAGUGGCGGACGGGUGAGGAAUACAUCGGAAUCUACUUUUUCGUGGGGGAUAACGUAGGGAAACUUACGCUAAUACCGCAUACGACCUACGGGUGAAAGCAGGGGAUCUUCGGACCUUGCGCGAUUGAAUGAGCCGAUGUCGGACUAGCUAGUUGGCGGGGUAAAGGCCCACCAAGGCGACGAUCCGUAGCUGGUCUGAGCGGAUGAUCAGCCACAAUGGAACUGAGACACGGUCGAGACUCCUACGAGAGGCAGCAGUGGGGAAUAUUGGAGAACGGUCGGAAGACUGCUGAAGCAAUACCGCGUGGGUGAAGAAGGACUUCGGGUUGUAAAGAACUUCUGUUGGGAAAGAAAAGCAGCAGCUUCAUAUCUCGCUGUUCUGACGGUAGCCAAAGAAUAAGCACCGGCUAACUUCGUG
rnacentral:rRNA from 1 species